AUACGAAGGGGGCUAGCGUUGUUCGGAAUUACUGGGCGUAAAGCGCACGUAGGCGGGUCGUUCAGUUGGGGGUGAAAUCCCGAGGCUUAACCUCGGAACUGCCUCCAAUACUGGCGAUCUUGAGUCCGAGAGAGGUGAGUGGAACUCCGAGUGUAGAGGUGAAAUUCGUAGAUAUUCGGAAGAACACCAGUGGCGAAGGCGGCUCACUGGCUCGGUUCUGACGCUGAGGCGCGAAAGCGUGGGGAGCAAACAGGAUUAGAUACCCCAGUAGUCC
rnacentral:rRNA from 1 species